UGGCGAACGGGUGAGUAACACGUGGGUAACCUGCCCAUCAGAAGGGGAUAACACUUGGAAACAGGUGCUAAUACCGUAUAACAAUCAAAACCGCAUGGUUUUGAUUUGAAAGGCGCUUUCGGGUGUCGCUGAUGGAUGGACCCGCGGUGCAUUAGCUAGUUGGUGAGGUAACGGCUCACCAAGGCCACGAUGCAUAGCCGACCUGAGAGGGUGAUCGGCCACAUUGGGACUGAGACACGGCCCAAACUCCUACGGGAGGCAGCAGUAGGGAAUCUUCGGCAAUGGACGAAAGUCUGACCGAGCAACGCCGCGUGAGUGAAGAAGGUUUUCGGAUCGUAAAACUCUGUUGUUAGAGAAGAACAAGGAUGAGAGUAACUGUUCAUCCCUUGACGGUAUCUAACCAGAAAGCCACGGCUAACUACGUGCCAGCAGCCGCGGUAAUACGUAGGUGGCAAGCGUUGUCCGGAUUUAUUGGGCGUAAAGCGAGC
rnacentral:rRNA from 1 species